rnacentral:rRNA from 1 species
GACGAACGCUGGCGGCGGGCUUAACACAUGCAAGUCGAACGGAAAGGCCCUGCUUUUGUGGGGUGCUCGAGUGGCGAACGGGUGAGUAACACGAGAGUAACCUGCCCUUCAUUUUGGUAUAACUUCAGGAAACUGGAGCUAAUACCAGAUAGCAUCUCCUCUUGCAUUGUGAGGGUUGGAAAGUUGCUGCUGUUGCGGUUGGACUCGCGGCUUAUCAGCUUGUUGGUUGGGUAGUGGCUUACCCAGGCUGUGAAGGGUCGCCGGCCUGAGAGGGUGAACGGCGACAAUGGGACUGAGAUACGGAGCAGACUCGUAUGGGAGGCAGCAGUGGGGAAUAUUGCACAGUGGGCCGAAGUGUGAUGCAGAAACGCCGGGUGCGGGAUGACGGCUUUCGGGUUGUAAAAAGCUUUCGCCUGUGACGAAGCGUUAGUGACGGUAAUGGGUAAAGAAGCACCGGCUAACUACGUG